UGGGGAAUAUUGCACAAUGGGCGCAAGCCUGAUGCAGCCAUGCCGCGUGUAUGAAGAAGGCAUUCGGGUUGUAAAGUACUUUCAGUCGGGAGGAAGGUGGUAAGGUUAAUAACCUUAUCAAUUGACGUUACCGACAGAAGAAGCACCGGCUAACUCCGUGCCAGCAGCCGCGGUAAUACGGAGGGUGCAAGCGUUAAUCGGAAUUACUGGGCGUAAAGCGCACGCAGGCGGUUGAUUGAGUCAGAUGUGAAAUCCCCGGGCUUAACCCGGGAAUUGCAUCUGAUACUGGUCAGCUAGAGUCUUGUAGAGGGGGGUAGAAUUCCAUGUGUAGCGGUGAAAUGCGUAGAGAUGUGGAGGAAUACCGGUGGCGAAGGCGGCCCCCUGGACAAAGACUGACGCUCAGGUGCGAAAGCGUGGGGAGCAAACAGG
rnacentral:rRNA from 1 species